AUUAUUUCCUAGGAUUAAAGGCAUGUGUGCUUCUAAGCAAAGGCAUGAGAUCUUAAGCACUGGAAUUAAAGGUGUGUGCCACCACUUCUUGACCUCAAUGUCUAGUCUAAUGGCUGGCUCUGUCCUCUGAUUAUCAGGCAAGUUUAUUAUGCUACCCAAUAUAUCACCAUACAUC